rnacentral:rRNA from 1 species
GUGAGUCAUCGAAUCUUUGAACGCACAUUGCACUCUCUGGUAUUCCGGAGAGUAUGCUUGUUUGAGUAUCUGUAAACAUCUCAAAUCUCUUUGCGCUUGCGCAUAAGAGACUUGGAUUUGAGCGAUCCCGACUCCUUCGACAGAAAGAGGAGGGUCGCUUGAAAUGCAGGUGCAGCUGGACAUUCUUCUGAGCUAAAAGCAUAUCUAUUUAGUCCCGUCAAACGGAUUAUUACUUUUGCUUCAGCUAAUACAAAGGUCGAAUGAACUACCAACGCUGAUUGCAGGAAAACUCGUUUUUUUACUAAAACUUGUAAACUCGAUCUCAAAUCAAGUAAGACUACCCGCUGAACUUA